GCUCCCGUAGCUUAAAGUAGAAAGCGGCACGCUUCGAACGUGCAGGUUGCGGGUUAGAGUCCUGCCGGGAGCGCCA
rnacentral:tRNA from 1 species